GAUGAACGCUGGCGGCGUGCCUAAUACAUGCAAGUCGAGCGAACGGACGAGAAGCUUGCUUCUCUGAUGUUAGCGGCGGACGGGUGAGUAACACGUGGAUAACCUACCUAUAAUACUGGGAUAACUUCGGGAAACCGGAGCUAAUACCGGAUAAUAUUUUGAACCGCAUGGUUCAAAAGUGAAAGACGGUCUUGCUGUCACUUAUAGAUGGAUCCGCGCUGCAUUAGCUAGUUGGUAAGGUAACGGCUUACCAAGGCAACGAUGCAUAGCCGACCUGAGAGGGUGAUCGGCCACACUGGAACUGAGACACGGUCCAGACUCCUACGGGAGGCAGCAGUAGGGAAUCUUCCGCAAUGGGCGAAAGCCUGACGGAGCAACGCCGCGUGAGUGAUGAAGGUCUUCGGAUCGUAAAACUCUGUUAUUAGGGAAGAACAUAUGUGUAAGUAACUGUGCACAUCUUUACGGUACCUAAUCAGAAAGCCACGGCUAACUACGUG
rnacentral:rRNA from 1 species